rnacentral:rRNA from 1 species
AGAGUUUGAUCAUGGCUCAGAUUGAACGCUGGCGGCGUGCCUAACACAUGCAAGUCGAGCGGUAACAGGUGUAGCAAUACAUGCUGACGAGCGGCGAACGGGUGAGUAAUGCUUCGGAAUCUGCCCAAUGGUGGGGAAUAACCAGCCGAAAGGUUGGCUAAUACCGCAUAAGUCCUACGGGAGAAAGCAGGGGAUCGCAAGACCUUGCGCCGAUGGAUGAGCCGAAGUCGGAUUAGCUAGUUGGUAGGGUAACGGCCUACCAAGGCGACGAUCCGUAGCUGGUCUGAGAGGACGACCAGCCACACUGGGACUGAGACACGGCCCAGACUCCUACGGGAGGCAGCAGUGGGGAAUAUUGGACAAUGGGGGAAACCCUGAUCCAGCGACGCCGCGUGUGUGAAGAAGGCCUGCGGGUUGUAAAGCACUUUUAGUGGGGAUGAAAAGCUCAGGGCUAACACCUCUGGGUCUUGACCUAACCCACAGAAAAAGCACCGGCUAACUCUGUGCCAGCAGCCGCGGUAAUACAGAGGGUGCAAGCGUUAAUCGGAAUUACUGGGCGUAAAGCGUGCGUAGACGGUUAUGUAAGUCGGGUGUGAAAGCCCCGGGCUCAACCUGGGAAUGCCAUUCGAGACUGCAUAGCUAGGGUGCGGAAGAGGGAAGCGGAAUUUCAGGUGUAGCGGUGAAAUGCGUAGAUAUCUGAAGGAACACCAGUGGCGAAAGCGGCUUCCUGGUCCAGCACCGACGUUCAGGCACGAAAGCGUGGGGAGCAAACAGGAUUAGAUACCCUAGUAGUCC